GGAAUAUUGGUCAAUGGGCGAAAGCCUGAACCAGCAAUGCCGCGUGAGUGAUGAAGGCCUUCGGGUUGUAAAGCUCUGUCAGUGGGAACGAAUAAGCCGGUUAAUACACGGUGGUGACGGUACCCACCAAGGAAGCACCGGCUCACCCUGUGCCAGCAGCCCCGGUAAUACAGAGGGUGCAAGCGUUGUUCGGACUUACUGGGCGUAAAGCGCGUGUAGGCGGUCUUGUAAGUCGGUCGUGAAAUCCCUUGGCUCAACCAAGGAACUGCGUUCGAAACUACUUGACUAGAGUGUCGGAGGGGGUGGCGGAAUUCCCGGUGUAGAGGUGAAAUUCGUAGAUAUCGGGAGGAACACCUGUGGCGAAGGCGGCCACCUGGAAGAUUACUGACGCUGAUACGCGAAAGCGUGGGGAGCAAAC
rnacentral:rRNA from 1 species